AUGGAUGGAAUUAGGUAAAAUAUUCUAGUGGGAAAGGCGCACUAUGGAUCCUCUGAUGACAUUUUUUUUGGGUUGGGGCCACUCGGUGAGGCGAUGUUGUUCUCAGUGUCACUGUGGAAGAGUGACAAGCGGACGGCAAAACGGCAAAGCAUGCUUUGCCCUGUCUGAACCUCAAUGCAUGCUCGCAAAUACUCGUGGCCAUGACAAUGACCCCAAGUUUGUUCCUCCGAACCAUGUCUUGGAAUCUUAAGGAUGCAACCUUUGCAAAUUCUCACAGUAUUCGCCCCGUCCUCUUGCAUGCUGCAUGCAGCUUCAAUUCCUCGAAAAAAUUUAAGCAUUCAGACUAAGGUAUGCCAUCUUGGUAUUGGAUCCUGUACCAGUGCCACCUUGUUACUGCAUCGGAAUGUCCGAUAUGGAGGUCGGUUCAGUAUACCG
rnacentral:lncRNA from 1 species